GAUGAACGCUGGCGGCGUGCCUAAUACAUGCAAGUCGAGCGAAUGGAUUAAGAGCUUGCUCUUAUGAAGUUAGCGGCGGACGGGUGAGUAACACGUGGGUAACCUGCCCAUAAGACUGGGAUAACUCCGGGAAACCGGGGCUAAUACCGGAUAACAUUUUGAACCGCAUGGUUCGAAAUUGAAAGGCGGCUUCGGCUGUCACUUAUGGAUGGACCCGCGUCGCAUUAGCUCAGUUGGUGAGGUAACGGCACACCAAGGCAACGAUGCGUAGCCGACCUGGGAGGGUGAUCGGCCACACUGGGACUGAGACACGGCCCAGACUCCUACGGGAGGCAGCAGUAGGGAAUCUUCCGCAAUGGACGAAAGUCUGACGGAGCAACGCCGCGUGAGUGAUGAAGGCUUUCGGGUCGUAAAACUCUGUUGUUAGGGAAGAACAAGUGCUAGUUGAAUAAGCUGGCACCUUGACGGUACCUAACCAGAAAGCCACGGCUAACUACGUGCCAGCCGCCGCAGUAA
rnacentral:rRNA from 1 species